CGUGGACUUUGAGUGCCAUCCU
rnacentral:miRNA from 15 species